GGCGAUGGCGACGUGCUAUACAUGCAGUCGAGCGACGGACGAGAAGCUUGCUUCUCUGAUGUUAGCGGCGGACGGGUGAGUAACACGUGGAUAACCUACCUAUAAGACUGGGAUAACUUCGGGAAACCGGAGCUAAUACCGGAUAAUAUUUUGAACCGCAUGGUUCAAAAGUGAAAGACGGUCUUGCUGUCACUUAUAGAUGGAUCCGCGCUGCAUUAGCUAGUUGGUAAGGUAACGGCUUACCAAGGCAACGAUGCAUAGCCGACCUGAGAGGGUGAUCGGCCACACUGGAACUGAGACACGGUCCAGACUCCUACGGGAGGCAGCAGUAGGGAAUCUUCCGCAAUGGGCGAAAGCCUGACGGAGCAACGCCGCGUGAGUGAUGAAGGUCUUCGGAUCGUAAAACUCUGUUAUUAGGGAAGAACAUAUGUGUAAGUAACUGUGCACAUCUUGACGGUACCUAAUCAGAAAGCCACGGCUAACUACGUGCCAGCAGCCGCGGUAAUACGUAGGUGGCAAGCGUUAUCCGGAAUUAUUGGGCGUAAAGCGCGCGUAGGCGGUUUUUUAAGUCUGAUGUGAAAGCCCACGGCUCAACCGUGGAGGGUCAUUGGAAACUGGAAAACUUGAGUGCAGAAGAGGAAAGUGGAAUUCCAUGUGUAGCGGUGAAAUGCGCAGAGAUAUGGAGGAACACCAGUGGCGAAGGCGACUUUCUGGUCUGUAACUGACGCUGAUGUGCGAAAGCGUGGGGAUCAAACAGGAUUAGAUACCCUGGUAGUCCACGCCGUAAACGAUGAGUGCUAAGUGUUAGGGGGUUUCCGCCCCUUAGUGCUGCAGCUAACGCAUUAAGCACUCCGCCUGGGGAGUACGACCGCAAGGUUGAAACUCAAAGGAAUUGACGGGGACCCGCACAAGCGGUGGAGCAUGUGGUUUAAUUCGAAGCAACGCGAAGAACCUUACCAAAUCUUGACAUCCUUUGACAACUCUAGAGAUAGAGCUUUCCCCUUCGGGGGACAAAGUGACAGGUGGUGCAUGGUUGUCGUCAGCUCGUGUCGUGAGAUGUUGGGUUAAGUCCCGCAACGAGCGCAACCCUUAAGCUUAGUUGCCAUCAUUAAGUUGGGCACUCUAAGUUGACUGCCGGUGACAAACCGGAGGAAGGUGGGGAUGACGUCAAAUCAUCAUGCCCCUUAUGAUUUGGGCUACACACGUGCUACAAUGGACAAUACAAAGGGCAGCGAAACCGCGAGGUCAAGCAAAUCCCAUAAAGUUGUUCUCAGUUCGGAUUGUAGUCUGCAACUCGACUACAUGAAGCUGGAAUCGCUAGUAAUCGUAGAUCAGCAUGCUACGGUGAAUACGUUCCCGGGUCUUGUACACACCGCCCGUCACACCACGAGAGUUUGUAACACCCGAAGCCGGUGGAGUAACCUUUUAGGAGCUAGCCGUCGAAGGUGAUCAUAGUG
rnacentral:rRNA from 1 species